rnacentral:rRNA from 1 species
GGGUGAUGGUGGCGGACGGGUGAGUAACGCGUAAAGAACUUGCCCUGCAGUCUGGGACAACAUUUGGAAACGAAUGCUAAUACCGGAUAUUAUGCGAGUCUCGCAUGAGAUUCGUAUGAAAGCUAUAUGCGCUGCAGGAGAGCUUUGCGUCCUAUUAGCUAGUUGGUGAGGUAACGGCUCACCAAGGCGAUGAUAGGUAGCCGGCCU